rnacentral:rRNA from 1 species
UGCGUAGGCGGCGCGGUAAGUCGGGUGUGAAAUCUCGGAGCUUAACUCCGAAACUGCAUUCGAUACUGCCGUGCUUGAGGACUGGAGAAGAGACUGGAAUUUACGGUGUAGCGGUGAAAUGCGUAGAUAUCGUAAGGAAGACCAGUGGCGAAGGCGGGUCUCUGGACAGUUCCUGACGCUGAGGCACGAAGGGUCAGGGAAGGCAAAACG